rnacentral:rRNA from 1 species
CCUACGGGAGGCAGCAGUGAGGAAUAUUGGUCAAUGCGCGCGAGCCUGAACCAGCCAAGUAGCGUGAAGGAUGACUGCCCUACGGGUUGUAAACUUCUUUUAUAAAGGAAUAAAGUGAGGCACGUGUGCCUUUUUGUAUGUACUUUAUGAAUAAGGAUCGGCUAGCUCCGUGCCAGCAGCCGCGGUGAUACGGAGGAGCCGAGCGUUAUCCGGAUUGAUUGGGUUUAAAGGGAGCGUAGAUGGGUUGUUAAGUCAGUUGUGAAAGUUUGCGGCUCAACCGUAGAAUUGCAAUUGAUACUGGCAGCCUUGAGUACAGUUGAGGUAGGCGGAAUUCGUGGUGUAGCGGUGAAAUGCGUAGAUAUCACGAAGAACUCCGAUAGCGAAGGCAGCCUACUAAACUGCCACUGACAUUGAUGCGCGAAAGUGUGGGUAUCAAACAGGAUUAGAUACCCGGGUAGUC